UGAAAAAGAUAUUAAUGAGCACCAGUCCCAAGAUGGAGCCCUGGGAAACACAACUCGCCACUGGCUUCCAUCUGGACAUAGUGCCGUUGGCAACAACCCUCUGACUAUGACCAUCGAACCAAUUCUUUACCCAGCAAAUAGUCCACCCUUCAAAUCCACAUCUCUCCAACUUAGAGAUAAGAAUGUGAUGUUGGACCAUAUUAAAGGCCUUGUAGAAGUCCAGGUGUAUGACAUCAGUUGCUUUUCCUUUGUCCAUGGAAGCCAUCGUUUCAUCAUAGGAGGCCACCAGAUUGGUCAGGCAUGAUCUGCCCUUUUUGAAGCUGUGCUGGCUGCCAUGGAUCAUGUCUUCACCUUGCCUGUGCUUUAACAAAGCUUCCAGGAGGAUCUAUUCCAUGGUCAUCCUGGGCACAGACGUGAGUUCAUCGGCUUGUAGUUCCUCAGGUCUGCCUUUCCACCUUAAAAAUGGGAGUGAUGUUUCCUUUCUUCCAGUCUCCAGGAAUUUCACCUGACAGCCACAACUUUUUGACUGUGAUGGAGAACAGCUUGGCAACUACAUCAGUGAUUUCCUUCAACUCCCAGCUCCACGCAGUUAUCCAAGUAUCUAACCAUAUUUUUUAGAAUGUUGCCCAAAUGUUUCUCGAACUCCAGCAGCUCAUUGCCUUGACCACUGCCCUGAGGAUCCUGUUCCAUGCCCACUGCCCUCUGGUGAAGACCUUUUUAUUAACCCCCACCUGACCCUCCCCCGAUACAACAUAGCUCCAUGCUGUCCCCUCAGGCCCUGUCUCUGUCACCAGAGAGCAGAGCUCAAUGCUGCCUCUCCUCUCCCUGUGAGGAGCUGCAGUUGCCGUGAGGCCUCCCCUCAGCUCCUCUGCUCUGGGUUGAACAAACCAGGGGACCUCAGUCACUCCUGAUACAUGUUCCUCUCUGCACUCUUCACCAUGUUUGUAGUCUUUGUUUGUACUCAGUGCUUGAGGUGAGGUCACACCAGCACAGAGUAGAGCGGGACUAUCCCUUUGCUCAACUGGUUGUCCUGAGGUACCCAUAUACUACCUGUGUGCUUCAGGCAAAAUUUUCACAAAUGACCAUUGAAGACUGCAUUGUUCUGUUUGUGAGUACUUACCCAAAGCAGGACAAUACUAUAUUAAGAGAUCUGCAAGAGCAGUGCAGACAUAGUGAUAUUUUCAUUCAGCACUGUACAGAUGUGAGGCAGGAUCUGGAAAAAAUAGAGCUGUACUAAACAUGAACUGCGCCCAGGUGCAUUAGUUGGGAAGUUGAAUGUGCAAGACAUGGCUGUAUUCAUUGCUAGCUCCAGAAGAUGCUCAGGUAUUUUUCCUCCAUGUUAUUGAGGCUUACCACUAUAUGCAGCCAAGAAAAUAUAGCUUAUUCUGAAAUGAAUGAAAAACUCCGGAAAAUUAUUGCAUUUAAUUUAUGUUUUUUUUAACUAAUACCUGAAAGCUUGAGAAUGAUACCCAGUAAAGAGAUGAUGUUCUUGAUGCUUACACUCCAGGGAUAUAUAAACCAGAAAUUUUCAUGAUUGAAGGACAGUAAGUUACGUACAAGAGGCCUGCUCCAAUCACUGCAAGGCAAUGAUUCUUUUUUAGCUUCACAUCUUAAGUUGCAAAUCUAAUUAAAUUUUAGGAAGACUAUGAUUUAUUUUUAUGUUUACAUCUAGUUGAUUUAUUUUCCUUUCUUUUAUUUGUAGAUCAUCACGUGUAAAGUAAUUCUUCCAGAGAGAACUAAAGGAAACCACAUUUUGUGCCAGAAUAGAAAACAACAACAGAAGAUCAUGUAGUCUGACAGUCCUGGCCAGGACAAGAUCGGCUUUGGCACUUGGUGGCUGUUUAAUACAGCAAACUCUUUAUUUAAAUUUUAUUAGCCAAUAAUGAAUUCAUAGAUUUACAGGGCGUAGUGUUGCUUUUCUGGUUUCUUUUUUUUUUUGUGUGUGUGUGUGUGGUGUGUGUGUUUUUAUUUUUGUUAGGUUUUUUUCUAUUUAAUUAAAUCUGUGGGUUUUUAGGUGAGUUGACAGUAUUUGGUAUUUUUGCUAUUACAUUGUUUUUGUUACUUUUGACGCUAGAUAGUCAUACUAAUGCUUUCAGAAGCUAUUUUGACUCUUAGGCAAAUGACUUGUUUCCUUUCCUGUUUGUUCCAAUUGUAUCCUCUGACAAGGAGAGCCACAGAUUCAGUCUCUGAUGGCAUAUGUCUGAGUUUUAGAAUAUGCCAAUUCUAUUAAUAUUUCUGUUUUAAAGCCAACGUUUUUUGGACAGAAGCGACUUUUUGUGUUUUUUGUUUGUUUGUUUUUUAACUAUUUGUUCUCUCCGUUAUGGCAUGAAACAUUCAAGUAAAGCAGUGAAAUUAGUGCACAAAUGCUUUGCAAAUAGCAAAGUAGCAAUCUCUACUCUUAUAGCUGUGGAAUUCCAACACAGUUAAGAUGAUAGUAGCCAUCUUGCAUUAAUGUAAUUGCUUUAGCUAAACAACUUUUAAUCAUAAACAUAUGUUUAUUUUAUAUUCUUCAUGUGUGUGUGCAAUGUGAUAAAUACCAGUGUCUCUAUUAAUGGUAAUAAGGCAAUCAGUGUGCAAAACACCUCAGAAUGAAAAUGGAGAUCUCUAAAGCCUUAAUCCUUUAGGACUAGUUCCUAGACUUUCAUAAAUAUAUCCAAAGAGAGUUGCUAAAGCCAUCGAAUAUAAAAGGUAGAACAUUCUGAGGAAGGAAAACACUUUGUAUCCAACACGUUUAUGUGGUUUGUACCACGUGGUGACAAAGGCAAUUAGUGGAGCCUUACUAGAAAACUUUUAAGAUUUCUCAGGACUUUUUCUCCAGCAACUUAGGUAUUUAUUAAUAUGGUGUGAGAGAACUUUAGUCACAGAUCCAGCUACACGACUGAUAGUCAUGAAAUAUCAUAGAUUAGGCCAGGUUGGAAGGGAUGUUGAAAGAUCUUCAGGUACAACCUUUUAUGGGAAAAAGUAGCCUAGACAGAUUAUCUAGCACUCUGUUCGGUGGCAUCUUGAAAACCUCCAGUGACAGGGAUUCUAACAGGAAACAUGGGAUGUUGUUCCAGUGAUUGAUCUUUCUCAUGGUAAAAAAUUCCUUUCUUAUAUUGAGACAAAACCUUCUCUAGUGCAGUGUGUACCAGCUGCUCCUUGUCUUCUCCAUGUGGCUCCUCAUGAACAGAGAGCCUCUGUUCUCUUUCUAGCUGCUCUUUAAGUACUGGAAUACUGCAGAAAUAUUUCUCUUGAGCUUUCUCCUUCACACUACAAGAAUACCAAAUUCCUUCAGUCUUUCCCCACAGAGCAGAUUCUCCAGCCUUUUCAGUGCUUUUGUGGCCCUCUCCAGUCUUUCUGCAUCUUUUUCGAAUUGUGAGUGUCAACUGGAUGCAGUACUCUAGAUGUAGCCUGACAAGCUCUGAGUAGAGCGGGAUGAUCAUAUACCUAUCUCAGCUAAUAAUACCCCUGUCAAUGCAGUUCACGAUGCCUAUUGAUCUUGUUGUUCACCACACCCGCAAGGUCUCUAUCAGCACGGCUCCAUCAACACAGAUCCUAGCCAGUAGUGUGCUCUUUGGUUAUGUUGUCACAGGCGUGGGUCAUUGCAUUUGUCCUGACUGUCCUUCUUGCUCAUUCUUCCAUCCUGCCCCAGUCUCUCUGUAAGAUGUCCCUUCUUUCUGAUCUGUCCUCUUUACCAUCCAGUUUAAUAUUGUCAGCAAACUUAAUGAUAGUACUUUCAGUUCCAUUAUCCAGAUGGUUUAUGAAGAUGCUGAACAGCGUGGGGCCUACUAUCAAUCCCUGAGGGUGCCACUUCUGACAGGCUGCAAGCCUCACUAAAACCCACUGAUCACCAUUUGCUGAGCAUGGCCCAUUAGCCAGUUUUCUACCCAUUUCAAAGAGCACUGAUCCAAUCAUUAUCUUGCCAGUUUGCCUAGGCAAAGGAUGUGGGAAACUGUGUUGAAUGUUUUGCUGCAAUCCAGGUAAACGAUAUCCACUGCUCUUCCCAUGUUGACAGAAAAUGCUGUUUUGUUGUAGAAGGUUAUUAGGCUACUGAAUUGGCAUUUAUCUGCCAUUUGUUUAGUUUUAUUUUGUUCUUGUAGAUACUGUAUAGCUAUAGCACUGCAUAAGGUUGGCUGAAAAACAAGGAAUUGUUUCUAGGAAAAAAAUGCAAAUUGAAAGAAAAAUAAAUUAGGUCUUCUUAAAAUCUAUUUCUGAAAGGAAUGGAGAAAACCUUCUUGCUGCUCAAGAAGUAGUAGGAGGUCAGGUGUAUUCCCAAGAGUGCACUCAUAAAGCUCAUUUCUGAACUGAGUGAAUCUCAGACUUACUGUUCAAUUUGAGACUGUAACUCGCAGUUAAAUUGCAUUAGAAAUUCCAUGUUGGAUAUUCAAGAUUUUCUUGAUUCUUUCUUUAUUUUAAGAGAUAAUUUGAAACCAAUUAUCAGUGUCCUGUUUUAUGCAAAAUAUAAUUCUAUUCCAUAUGCAAAAAAAUUCCAAAGAAACAAACAAAAAGAGUACUUCCAGUUGCCUAGAACUGAACACACACGCAGGUCUUCUUCAGUGUCUCCACCCCAUACUUACAACCCAGGCUGUCCUGCUGGACCAAUUCUUCUUCUUGGGUGGUUCAAGUUCACUGGCUUUAAGUUUUAUAAUAUUAUAUGAGGCAUGCCACAAUCAUACUGAUAUUCACUGUUUGGAAUAUACUAUUCCUUGAGUUUUCCCGUGCUGAUGGAAAAUCAACAGAUCAGAGCUUGCUCCAAAAAAUUAUAACUCAUCUUGUAACAUGUUGACCUUAUUUUUUUGUUUUUACUUUUGAAGCUACUGAAAUCCUGGGUCUUGCUAUUGAAAAUACUUUUGUUGUGGAAAAUAUUUUAUUUUUUUAUUCUUAGUCCCUACAAGGACUAGUAAUAUUCAAAUACCAUUCUGUAACAGCAACAGUCAUUUAAAAUUGCGAGCCCCAAACUUGGCAUUUGAAAUAAAACCCACAAAUUAAGCGUGGAAUGAUGGAUUUAUUUUCUGCUUGUUGUGUCUGAAGAGAUUCAAUAACACUUUCAAACUUCCUUAAAUUUUUGAAAUGAACUAUUUGAGAACAGAUAAAUAAGAAAUACAUUUUUUUGUUAUGCUAGGAUUCUAGUGCCUAUUGUAAUCAGUGCUCUUAUGAAUUUAAUGAGGCUUAAAUGAGAAAAAGGUUAUUGGAAUGCACAUUAUGUUUUCAGAGCAUGAGGUGCUCCUAUGCAGCCCUGUAGAUCAAUAGUCAUGUCCACUGAGAUGUGGAAGGAGAACGGGUUGGUAGGGUCAUACCACUCUUCCUGCACUGAAUGACAAACAAAUGAAGCAGUGUAGGAAAAUGUUGUGGUAUGCUUGCAGAGGGGCAGAGAGUAGGAAAAACAGUAACACCACCUGAAAGAAAACAAAAAAGGGAAAAGUGCUUAUUGAGCUGCAAGCUCUGCUUAGUUGUGAGUAUCAUUUUAUUUUAAGGAUAAAAUUUCAUAUGGAAACUUUGAAUUUGGAGAAAGGAGUUAUCUUGUGGUGAGGACUUGGUUGAAAUUUGUGGGUUUUUUUGUUUUGUUUUGUUUUUUGGGGAAUCUGGCAGUGUUGUUAUCCACUGUGUGGUUUUCACACAUAAACACACUUUUAUACUGAAGCUUACGCCCUUGCCAGAAGGCUAAUGGUAUCUUGGGCUGCGUUAGGCAAAGUAUCUUUAGCAGGUUGAAGGAGGGAUCAUGAUAGUUCUCCUUGCUUAACAAUUUUUUAGCUGUGACUUUCUUGCAAUGUGCUAUUACUAGAUGCAGUAGUCUCUAAGGAUGACCUUGUUCAGACAUUACAUCUGUAGGUGAAUUAGUUCUUUCUCUCCACUGUAGAGCAUAUUCCAUAGGCCUUUUACCUGCUGGUACAUUUGGUGUGCAGUAAAAAUGAGACAAACUCUUUGUACAAAGAGCCUCUUGAAACAUAGCAACAACAAAGAAAUAAUCCUGAUUCUGUAUUCCACAGUAUCCACCAAAGUUGGACCUCCAAAGUGACUGAAUUUAAAAGAUUGAUACACACUGCAUAUCUUAAUUUCCAGAGCAGCCAGACAAGACCUUGUGUUGUCCUGCUUACUGUGUUCAGGUGAUUUGUUACUGAAACAGCCUAGUUGUUUGCAAUGCAACUAAUAUUUAACUGUUUUGCAAUAUCUUUUCUGCACAUUAAGCAUCUGCUUUGGUCUACAAAGUGUCUGCUCAUUUUCUAUAAUGAAGUGUCUAACAGAUUCUUUUGGGUACAAUAAAGUACUGUGUGCAAGUAUUAAACCAGUAACUUGGCAAUACAGAAUCAAGCCUUUCAAAAAACUAAACAAGUUAAGACAGUUUGUGCAGCUUUAAUUUGCCUCUAAUUUGCCUCUUGUGCCUAUGUGCAAAACAGUCUUUAGCUAUAGAAUUAUCUAAGCUCCCUGCUAUGAAGUCAUAUCCUGAUUUCACAGCAACUUUCCGUUUUCUUCUGUCAUAGUAUUAGAGACAGCACACGGCAGUUGCAUUACUAGUAGAAAAUCUGUUGACUAUUGCAAAGUGGAGUAUUAAAAAUUUCAUAGGAAUUAAACGGAGGUAAUCAACAGGAGAUAGCGCUUAGCACAGCUACUUCCAAUCUAAACCUCCACUUUUUGGGUAGAGCAGACUUUGAAUCUAUCUUGGAGCUCCCUCUAGUGCUUUACCGGCCUACUGCAACUAAUAUUUAACAGGAGGCGUCGAGAAGAAUGGCUUUGAGCGGCUCUCGAUCGGGACAUGCUUCUGCAAAGACUGCAGCAACUUGUUUUUGUUUGCUUUUUGUCUCUUGGAAACGGCCCAGUUUCUCCACUUUGAUGUGAAAGAAAGAGCGCUUAUUUGCUGCCAUUGAAGCCAAAUAUACUGCCAUUUGAUGAACAAAAA